rnacentral:tRNA from 1 species
AGGGAUUUAGCUCAGCGGUACAGCACCUGUCUGGCAAGUAUGCGAUCCUGAGUUCGAUUCCCAGUAUGCCCC